CGCCGAAAUGAGCCCAGCCCACGAAAAACCCUAUCUCCCCUUUUCCCCUUCUCCCACCAAAUCCCUCAGAUCUGGCACACAGUUUCUACAUCCACCGCACACACACGCUCGGGCUCUUCCUCCGUCGCACACGCUGCUCCCCAUGGCCGGCCACGUGCUCUCCGGCCGGCGAGGCCGUCGCACCCUCUCCCCCUCCCGACCGCCGCUGACCUCACUACGCACUGCCGCCGGUGGAACCCCAUACACCAUACUGCCACGGCCUGCACCGGUGGUCUUGCCGUCGCCAUCCAAACCCUACCGGGAGCUUCCCUUUUCGUCCGCGCCCAAGCUCAUCCAUCUCCUGGAGGUGCCGCUGGCCAAGAAGAUUCUCUCUUACCUAUGCCUACAAGGUCGAUGAAAAUCCAAGCAAGUUGCAAGGAAGAUUCAUCUAUGUAAUAAUGUAAUAUCCAAGCUCUGUUGUCUCUGCUUAAUAACUUCUUUUUCUGAAAUUUAGUUGCAUUGAAUGAUUAAUUCCUCUCAUGCCAAUGUGGCAAUAUCUCUUGUUUGAAUUCUCAAUUGUCUUUGCCAGUUACAUAGUGGCUUACAUGCCACCUGGAUACUGGAGUAGCAUAGUAUAUGGGAAUAUGAUUUCAUUUUUAAGCAUUUCUAUGCCACAACUAGUAUCGUUGGUCCUUUCUAAAGGCCAAUAUGAAAGGGCAACAUAUAUAUGUCAGAUCGCAUGGGUAUUUUAGUUGGUACUUUCAGGUUUUGAUAUUACUAUAUCACUAGAAUUUCCUUUCGAAAAUUGCAAUUAGAUUUUAUCAUAGCAUGGUAAGUAUUGAGAAAUUUGUUCAUCAUACCUCCCAGGUAAACUGGAAGUAUUGUAGUAGUAGUCAAGCAGGAACCAAUUCCAAUUGUAUCCUGGGGAUUUUCUUCCUUGUUUUAGAUCUAGUGAAUAAUGUUUGCUGUGGCAGAUAAAGAAUAAUGUUUGCAUUUACCUCACCCUGUCCUAAAUUGGUUUGUUUACUAAUGUUGCACAUGUCUUAUGUUUCCAUUGUUAAUUUAUUAUUGGAAAUUGGUGAUGAUCAGGUAAAGAAAGAAAUCUUCAAGUCUCAGGUUUUUCUAUAACCAUUCCCACAUGGUGGUAAGCUCUCCCAGCAAAUCAUGAUGUGACUCGGAUCAGGUGUGCAUUUUUUCCUUUUUCUACUAUAAAAAAACUUUCCAAUGAGCACACUAAAGUGUAGCAUUCAAUAAGCAGACUUCAUGAUAUUCUAUUGAAAUAAAGUAAUCUAUGAUGUUCUUGAAGUUUUGUCAUGAGUGCCUUAUAUAUGUGCACCAUGGCCAUAAGUACGAGCAGCAUGCAUAUGUGCAUUGAGUCAUCCAACAUGAGGAAUAAGAGAGAUAAAAGCGGGUCCACAGCAAAAAGCGGUGCGGCAAGGCUUGCGUCUACUUCUAGUGGUUACCUAUACUCGAAUGGAGUGCCUUCUUGAGUAGGUGUUUUGGUACUAGCUUGCCUUGUGAAGUAAUAAAUGUUGUCAAUGCUAUGCUUUAUCCAAGUUUUUAUGGUACAUUGUAUUUAUGAAUGUAAGAAUGUAAUGGCAACUUCUUUACAUUUCGCAGGAAAGACAUGCAAGCGGAGGUGGAACCAUGAAGCCGGCGGUUCAGGAAAUUUUGUGUAGUGGUGAUUGAAUCAUUGGUGCUGAAUUUUAUCUAUCAUUUUGUAAACCCACAUUGUGUUUGAGACAAUGAACCAUAGUUAAUUAGCUAUAUUAGCUUAUGGGAAAUUUGGAAAGUCAGUAUGUUGAUAACGGAUGAACUAUUUACAUGUGAAAUUAAUUAAUAUGUGUUUCUAUUGUC